CCUAGAGUUGUAGGCUUUGCCUGCUAUCUCUUUACCCAUGUCUUUUGAAGUACCUUCGUUUCCUCGGCGGGUCCGCCCCGCCCGAUUGGGACAAUUUAAAACCAUUUGCAGUUGCAAUCAGCGUCUGAAAAAAACUUAAUAGUUA
rnacentral:misc_RNA from 1 species